GGCUCAGUAACACGUCGAUAAUCUGCCCUUAAGUCAAGGAUAACCUUGGGAAACUGAGGAUAAGACUUGAUAGAGAAACAAAUCUGGAACGAUUGUUUCUUCAAAGGCAACGCUUAAGGAUGAGUUGGCGGCGGAUUAGGCUGUUGGUGAGGUAACGGCUCACCAAACCGAAGAUCCGUAGGGGCUCUGAGAGGAGUAGCCCCGAGAAGGGCACUGAGACACUGGCCCUAGCCCUACGGGGUGCAGCAGGCGCGAAACCUUUGCAAUGCACGAAAGUGUGACAAGGGAACCCAGAGUGCUUAUACAUUGUAUAGGCUUUUGCCAAGAGCAAAUAUCUUGGAGAAUAAGUGGUGGGAAAGACUGGUGCCAGCCGCCGCGGUAACCCCAGCGCCACAAGUGGGAAUCGCGUUUAUUUGGCCUAAAGCAUCCGUAGCCGGUUUUGUAAAUCUCUUGUGAAAUUGUUUCGCUUAACGGAACAGCGUGCAGGGGACACUGCAGAACUAGGGACCGGGAGGAGUCAGGGGUAUGCAAUGGGGAGCGGUAAAAUGCUAUAAUCCAUUGUAGACCACCUGUGGCGAAGGCGCCUGACUAGAACGGGUCCGACGGUGAGGGAUGAAAGCCAGGGGAGCAAACCGGAUUAGAUACCCGAGUAGUCCUGGCCGUAAACCCUGCGAGCUAGGUGUCGCAUAUUCUUCGUGAAUGUGCGGUGUCGUAGUGAAGAUGUUAAGCUCGCCGCCUGGGAAUUACGGUCGCAAGACUGAAACUUAAAGGAAUUGGCGGGGGAGCACUACAAGGGGUGCGGCGUGCGGUUUAAUCUAACUCUACUCAGAGCAUCUCACCAGGGGCGACGGCAGGAUGAAAGUCAGUCUGAAGGGCUUACUUGACGAGCCGAGAGGUAGUGCAUGGCCGCCGUCAGCUCGUGUCGUAGGAUGUCCUGUUAAGUCAGGCAACGAGCGAGACCCCCACCA
rnacentral:rRNA from 1 species